CCAAGAGCAGCAAGCAGCAGAGGCACAGGCAAGCACAAGCAAAGCACAUACCACACUCUAAGCAAUCAGGUAAGCUGUUUGACACUACACCUUACAUUGCUACAUUCAGGUAUUCUUACAGAGGGUGAAAAAUUACAUUAUUUGUUUUUAUUCCACAUAAGCAAACAAACAGAACUUAACUAGUUAUUCUCCUUUUACCUGUGCCCACUACUGCCCCCAGGUGUCCACAACUAAAAACUGUUGGAAAUAAACCAAAAUAAUAAAGACCUGCUAUUAUGUAAAGCAAUUAACUAAACAAAUAACUAGCAAAAGUGUCAUUUUUACUAAUUAGAGCAAUAAAAUUUCAGCGUAGAAGGGCGAUUUUUGUCUUGAGUUGGAUGUGCGAAGGGCGCCGUUGCUUACAAACAAAAAGGUCGAUCCGAUGGUCAAAAUGUCCAGGAUUUUUGUCAGACACAGGUGGCAACCCUAGCUCAAUCAAAUCAUCAUGUCCAAAACACCCAGUGGAAU